GAUGAACGCUGGCGGCGUGCCUAAUACAUGCAAGUCGAGCGAACGGACGAGAAGCUUGCUUCUCUGAUGUUAGCGGCGGACGGGUGAGUAACACGUGGAUAACCUACCUAUAAGACUGGGAUAACUUCGGGAAACCGGAGCUAAUACCGGAUAAUAUUUUGAACCGCAUGGUUCAAAAGUGAAAGACGGUCUUGCUGUCACUUAUAGAUGGAUCCGCGCUGCAUUAGCUAGUUGGUAAGGUAACGGCUUACCAAGGCAACGAUGCAUAGCCGACCUGAGGGGGUGAUCGGCCACACUGGAACUGAGACACGGUCCAGACUCCUACGGGAGGCGGCAGUAGGGAAUCUUCCGCAAUGGGCGAAAGCCUGACGGAGCAACGCCGCGUGAGUGAUGAAGGUCUUCGGAUCGUAAAACUCUGUUAUUAGGGAAGAACAUAUGUGUAAGUAACUGUGCACAUCUUGACGGUACCUAAUCAGAAAGCCACGGCUAACUACGUG
rnacentral:rRNA from 1 species